AACCAGACUCAACAUCUGGACAUCACUCAACUCUGUCACACAUGUGAAGGGCUACCUUUACUUCUCAUAGUGCUGAUCUCUGCGGCUGCGUCUAGUUUUCUGCUGAUAGUAGCUGCAGUCAUUGGGAUCAUCUGCACCUGCAAGAAACCAAGAAAAACCGUCCAGAGACAGAAGGAAGACGGAAGUGAUUCAGCAUUGUGUAAACCAAAAACACGACAAAAGAAAUCGAAGAAGGAGACUGUGUAUGAAAAUGUUCCCAAAAAAAAGAAGAUCAAAUCCUGUAACUAAUGGAAACGAGUUCCUGCAGGUCCCUGCCUCACGCUUUUGGUUUGGCUACUGUCUUCCAAGAUAUGUCUGCUUUGU